GAAAAACAUGUCUCCUUCUUCAAAAGAUCUUUUUUGAUCUAUGUUUAUCAGCAUAUUGUUUCUUUCUUGCUUUCGUUUGUGAUAAGUCAGCUUUCAAUUGCUGAUCUAAUUUGUACCUUUCUUGGAGCAAUUUCUUUACAGCCGAGUGCUUCAAAAGGAGUUAGAGAUGGCAGAAAAAUCCAUCCCAUCCCACCACGAAUGGGGCAAACAAUACCCAUCUCGACGGGUUGAUUGGGCUGGGCGUAAGUCGUCGCUCCGUCUUGGGUCUCAGCCACAAUUUUCCCAUCCCACCAAACAAUCCACAAUCUCUAUACUCUAACCCAAACGGCCAUACCCUUCAUCUCCUCCCAUAACCUUAAUCCACAUCCUGUGAUUCUCAUCGUUGGCACCACCAUUUGUUUGCAGCCUAUUCAUCUAUCGAUCACACUACACACGGUCCACAGUCAAUUCAAUCUACUCCCUUCGAUCUACAGGCGGUUCCACACCCGCAGGCCCAAACUUCAUUUCAUAAACCCAAAGGUUCAAUUCUCCAAUUCCCAAACCUAAAACUGUGAUUCUUGUGUGGUUGUUAAGUAUAAUUUACUGUGAAAUUCAUAGACAAAAGAGAAAAACAUAGAGAAUCUACUUUUUUCAUUUUUUUGAUGUCUGGCCCAAGUAGUACUGGAAGUAUUGGAUUAGGACCAAUACGUGAGAAAUAUAGCAUGACCAAUAUAUCGGUGAGCAAUGUCCCACAAGAAGAUCCAGUUGAACCGUUACCAAUGUGGAUGAAAGGCUAAUAAGCCUAAGUGACGAGAAGUGUGAUAUUGGAGAACUAUUUUCCCGAAAGAGGAAAUUGAUUCAGCUAUUUGAGAGCACUACAAAAGAUAAAAUAUUAGUGUGGAAUGGAGGGCUAUAUGCAAUCAUUACAAGAAACAGUUAGGGGUGACACAAAAAAUAGUACAAAGCAUUUGCAUGAUCAUUUGAAGAGAUGUGUAUUUCGUCAUCAAGAUGAUAUUUGCCAAGCAACAUUAAAUUUAAAAAAGGAUACUGCGAGUGGUAAGGUCACAAUGGGUACUUACUCUUUCGAUCCAGAUAAGUGUAGGUAUAGUCUCGCAAAAAUGGUGAUUUUGUAUGAACAUUCUUUGUCUUCGAUUGAUCACAUUCGAUUUCGAGAGUUCUUGCA